CAGUAGGGGAGAUUAGGGAGAAGGUUCAAGUAAAUUUCAUCUAAACUGUAGUUGAAUCCCUCUUACCUGGUGUGUCCAAGCUCCUACAUCACAGUCAGAUAUCAUGCGUUACAUCGCCGCUCAAUUACUCCUCUCCCCGGUGGUAACACCGCUGCUUCUGCCGAAGACAUCAAGACUCUCUUAACUUCCGUUGGUGUUGAAGUUGAAGAAGAACGUUUAAACGCUCUCCUUGCCCAAACCGAAGGUAAGGACCUAACGAACUCGUUGCCGCUGGUGCCUCUAAGCUCGCUUCCGUUCCCUCCGGUGGUGCUGCCGCUGGUGCCGCUUCCUCCGGUGCUGCCGCUGGUGGUGGCUGCUGAAGCCGCCGCCGCUGCCCCCGCUGAAGAAGAAGAAGAAGAUGAUGAUAUGGGCUUUGGUUUAUUCGACUAAACACGUUAUUAAAUCCACCAAUAAAACGUGUACUAGUAUCAAGCGUUUUGUACUCACUUCAAAAUCAACUUGGACUUCUACCCAUCCUUCUCAAUGGUUUCCCCUGAGGCUAAUUGAUUAAUGUAUUAAACUGUGUAUAAUCUUCAUCUUAAA